AAAUAGCACAACUUAGGUUCAUUACACAGUUCCCAUCAAAUAGCAUAAUUUAGGUUCAUUGCAUAGUUCCCAUAAAAUAGCACAAUAGGUCCAUGACAUAGUUCAUCACAAAUUCAUGAUACAAUCCUCAAAUAGCAGCACAUUCAAGUCUCUAUUGGGUCACACGCGGCCAUUUCCCCUUCUUGUCGCGUGCCUCAUCCUCCUCUUGUGCAUCGCGAGCCCUCGCAAGCUUUCUUGCCCUCUCCUCUUGACGAGCUGCCUUCUCUUUGCGCGCCCUCUCCUCCUCAUGCUUCUUCCGCUCCUUCCUCUCCCACUCACGACGUUCUUCGUCCUCUGCUCUCUGUAAGGAUUCUUCAAACAGUCGCUGUCUCCUAAGGCAAUCUUGAAGUUGGUCUUUUUGGACAUCUUCUGGCACUUCAUGAUCUGUCCAUGUGAAGUACUUGCAAAG
rnacentral:lncRNA from 1 species